GAAAAAUUACGCUUAGCUAGGCGACGCCCGCAGGGGUAGCGCUUUCUUUUUAGAGGAAAGGGAAGAGGUGCCGACGUGGAAGUAGGAGAGGGAGGGAACGGCGUAGCUGGGGGGACAGGGCGUGAGGGAGAGCGGCCGGCCGCCGUCGAGACCGGCCGUCCCGCUUCGGUGGCCUUAGUACCGGUUCAGACCACGGGCAUUCCUCCGCCGUGGGCGGGCCAGUUGCCGCUGGAGCGGCGGCGGCGUCGCGCAGGGGCCGCGGGGCCGUCCGAGCACGCGGUCGGCCAACGGUGUCGGCGAGAAGAUGUGGCCGCGAGGCUGAGCGAGCAGGUGGUCAGGCAGCUGUGGCGGCGUGGACAUGGAGGGAGAGUACCUUAUUAGAUGACGUUUGGGAUAUACCAAACGACCACCGUCAUUUCUAGAUACGUCUAAGGUUGGUUUUUUUUUCUGACAACAACACAUGAGCUCAACACACGAGUUACAAACUACAUAUUCACACUCUAAAUGAUACCGACAAGUCAAUUACUACACAGAUAGAACAUUGUUUUAAUGGAUCGUAUUACGCCAACCUUGUAAACGGAAUUGAUUACAUACACAACAACUUCGCUACGUACGUAAUGACGUUCACUUAAGACUAUGAUCAUCUGAUAUAAUUUUAAUCG
rnacentral:rRNA from 1 species